UUCACGCAUCAUUGCCAAGAAUUUUUUUCCUAUAUAUAUUAACCAUUCAUGAAGCAAACAUUUCAUGUCAUACACUCCUCAACCCUACUUACAACAGCAUCGUCCAGUAAUAACCUCUGGUCCUCGAUGAUGACGACCAAGUGCUUGAGGAACAAUGUGCAAGGACUUGUGCUACUUUCUUUUCUUCUUGUGGUGUGUUUGACUUCUCCUGGAUGCACAUAUGGUGAAACAAUAAAGCCGAGCAACAUGAUGACCAAAGUAAGCCAUGUAACCAGGCCCCCUUGUUAUAAAGACAACCAAGGCCUUGGACAAUUCUGUUGUAAAAUAGAUAAGUUGUGCUGGACAAAUCUUAGUGAAUGCUUCAUCAACUGUCCCUGCAAGAUUAACUGCAAACGAGCAGCCACAACAACACAGUAGUUUUGUUAUCUCUCCUUUUUUGGAUGGAUAAGUCUCAACCUCAUGGUUCUCAAAAUAAUGAUGGAUGAUAUCAUAAAUUUGCUAUGAUUUUGAAAUCAAGUGUGUUAUUUUAAUGUUAAGAAAACUUAUCAGUUCUCUGCGUAA